AGCGAACGCUGGCGGCAGGCCUAACACAUGCAAGUCGAACGAACUCUUCGGAGUUAGUGGCGGACGGGUGAGUAACGCGUGGAAACGUGCCUUUAGGUUCGGAAUAACUCAGGGAAACUUGUGCUAAUACCGAAUGUGCCCUUCGGGGGAAAGAUUUAUCGCCUUUAGAGCGGCCCGCGUCUGAUUAGCUAGUUGGUGAGGUAAAGGCUCACCAAGGCGACGAUCAGUAGCUGGUCUGAGAGGAUGAUCAGCCACAUUGGGACUGAGACACGGCCCAAACUCCUACGGGAGGCAGCAGUGGGGAAUCUUGCGCAAUGGGCGAAAGCCUGACGCAGCCAUGCCGCGUGAAUGAUGAAGGUCUUAGGAUUGUAAAAUUCUUUCACCGGGGACGAUAAUGACGGUACCCGGAGAAGAAGCCCCGGCUAACUUCGUG
rnacentral:rRNA from 1 species